GACGGAGGUGCGAGCGUGUCGGAUCACCUAGGCGAAAGGCGGCGUAAGGGCGGCGCGGGUGAGUCAGUCGGUGAAAUUCAGGGACGUCAAACUCUGAAUCGGCCGGUGAUACUCCCGUGCUCGAGCACUGUAGAGGCAGGUGGAAUUCCGGGUGGUAGCGGUGGGAAUGCGUAGAGAAUCCGGAAGAACACCGGUGGCGAAAGCGGCCUGCUGGGCAGUAGCUGACGCUGAUGCGCGACAGCGUGGGGAGCAAACAGG
rnacentral:rRNA from 1 species